rnacentral:rRNA from 1 species
UACAGAGGGUGCAAGCGUUAAUCGGAAUUACUGGGCGUAAAGCGUGCGUAGACGGUUAUGUAAGUCGGGUGUGAAAGCCCCGGGCUCAACCUGGGAAUGCCAUUCGAGACUGCAUAGCUAGGGUGCGGAAGAGGGAAGCGGAAUUUCCGGUGUAGCGGUGAAAUGCGUAGAUAUCGGAAGGAACACCAGUGGCGAAAGCGGCUUCCUGGACCGGUUCUGACGCUGAGGCGCGAAAGCGUGGGGAGCAAACGGG